AGAGUUUGAUCCUGGCUCAGGACGAACGCUGGCGGCGUGCUUAACACAUGCAAGUCGAACGGAAAGGCCCUGCUUUUGUGGGGUGCUCGAGUGGCGAACGGGUGAGUAACACGUGAGUAACCUGCCCUUGACUUUGGGAUAACUUCAGGAAACUGGGGCUAAUACCGGAUAGGAGCUCCUGCUGCAUGGUGGGGGUUGGAAAGUUUCGGCGGUUGGGGAUGGACUCGCGGCUUAUCAGCUUGUUGGUGGGGUAGUGGCUUACCAAGGCUUUGACGGGUAGCCGGCCUGAGAGGGUGACCGGCCACAUUGGGACUGAGAUACGGCCCAGACUCCUACGGGAGGCAGCAGUGGGGAAUAUUGCACAAUGGGCGGAAGCCUGAUGCAGCAACGCCGCGUGCGGGAUGACGGCCUUCGGGUUGUAAACCGCUUUCGCCUGUGACGAAGCGUGAGUGACGGUAAUGGGUAAAGAAGCACCGGCUAACUACGUGCCAGCAGCCGCGGUGAUACGUAGGGUGCGAGCGUUGUCCGGAUUUAUUGGGCGUAAAGGGCUCGUAGGUGGUUGAUCGCGUCGGAAGUGUAAUCUUGGGGCUUAACCCUGAGCGUGCUUUCGAUACGGGUUGACUUGAGGAAGGUAGGGGAGAAUGGAAUUCCUGGUGGAGCGGUGGAAUGCGCAGAUAUCAGGAGGAACACCAGUGGCGAAGGCGGUUCUCUGGGCCUUUCCUGACGCUGAGGAGCGAAAGCGUGGGGAGCGAACAGGCUUAGAUACCCUGGUAGUCCACGCUGUAAACGGUGGGUACUAGGUGUGGGGUCCAUUCCACGGGUUCCGUGCCGUAGCUAACGCUUUAAGUACCCCGCCUGGGGAGUACGGCCGCAAGGCUAAAACUCAAAGGAAUUGACGGGGCCCCGCACAAGCGGCGGAGCAUGCGGAUUAAUUCGAUGCAACGCGUAGAACCUUACCUGGGUUUGACAUGGAUCGGGAGCGCUCAGAGAUGGGUGUGCCUCUUUUGGGGUCGGUUCACAGGUGGUGCAUGGCUGUCGUCAGCUCGUGUCGUGAGAUGUUGGGUUAAGUCCCGCAACGAGCGCAACCCUUGUUCACUGUUGCCAGCACGUUAUGGUGGGGACUCAGUGGAGACCGCCGGGGUCAACUCGGAGGAAGGUGGGGAUGACGUCAAGUCAUCAUGCCCCUUAUGUCCAGGGCUUCACGCAUGCUACAAUGGCUGGUACAGAGAG
rnacentral:rRNA from 1 species